rnacentral:rRNA from 1 species
UGGCUGUCGUCAGCUCGUGUCGUGAGAUGUCGGGUUAAGUCCCGCAGCGAGCGCAACCCUUGCCUUUAGUUUGCCAGCAGUUCGGCUGGGCACUCUAAAGGGACUGCCGGUGUUAAACCGGAGGAAGGUGGGGAUGACGUCAAGUCCUCAUGGCCUUUAUGACCAGGGCUACACACGUACUACAAUGGCCGAUACAAAGGGCAGCGACACUGCGAGGUGAAGCCAAUCCCGUAAAAUCGGUCUCAGUCCGGAUUGGAGUCUGCAACUCGACUCCAUGAAGUUGGAAUCGCUAGUAAUCGUGGAUCAGAAUGUCACGGUGAAUACGUUCCCGGGCCUU